GACACGACUCUCGGCAAUGGAUAUCUCGGCUCCCGCAUCGAUGAAAAGCGCAGCAAAAUGCGAUACGUGGUGCGAAUUGCAGAAUCCCGCGAAC
rnacentral:rRNA from 1 species